GAUGAACGCUAGCAGGGGGCCUAACACAUGCAAGUCGAACGUAUUUAUUUACGUGGCAGACGGGUGCGUAACACGUACUUACUUACCCUAGAGUGGGGGAUAACUGUUGAAAGGCAGAUAAUCCCGCAUAAUCCCUACGGGGGAAAGAUUUAUCGCUCAAGGAGAGGGGUGCGGCCUACUAGAUAGUUGGUGAGGUAAAGGCUCACCAAGUCGAUGAUGGGUAGCUGGUCUGAGAGGAUGAUCAGCCACAAUGGAACUGAGACACGGUCCAUACCCCUACGGGGGGCAGCAGUGGGGAAUAUUGCACAAUGGACGAAAGUCUGAUGCAGCCACCCUGCGUGGAGGACGAAGCAUUACGGUGUGUAAACUCCUUUUCUGGAGGAAGACGACUGACGGUACUCCAGGAAUAAGCGACGGCUAACUACG
rnacentral:rRNA from 1 species